rnacentral:rRNA from 1 species
UACAGAGGUGCCAAGCGUUAGGCGGAAUCACUGGGCUUAAAGCGCGUGUAGGUGGGUCGUUAAGUGUCCGCGUGAAAUCCCACGGCUCAACCGUGGAACUGCCGGGCAUACUGGCGAUCUUGAGGCAUUCAGGGGCGAGCGGAACAAGUGGUGGAGCGGUGAAAUGCGUAGAUAUCGUUUGGAACGCCAAUGGUGAAAACAGGUCGCUGGGGCUGUGCUGACGCUGAGACACGAAAGCCAGGGGAGCAAACGGG